rnacentral:rRNA from 1 species
AGUGAACGCUGGCGGUAGGCCUAACACAUGCCAGUCGAACGGCAGCACAGUAAGAGCUUGCUCUUACGGGUGGCGAGUGGCGGACGGGUGAGGAAUAAAUCGGAAUCUACUUUUUCGUGAGGGAUAACGUAGGGAAACUUACGCUAAUACCGCAUACGACCUACGGGUGAAAGCAGGGGAUCUUCGGACCUUGCGCGAUUGAAUGAGCCGAUGUCGGAUUAGCUAGUUGGCGGGGUAAAGGCCCACCAAGGCGACGAUCCGUAGCUGGUCUGAGAGGAUGAUCAGCCACACUGGAACUGAGACACGGUCCAGACUCCUACGGGAGGCAGCAGUGGGGAAUAUUGGACAAUGGGCGCAAGCCUGAUCCAGCCAUACCGCGUGGGUGAAGAAGGCCUUCGGGUUGUAAAGCCCUUUUGUUGGGAAAGAAAAGCAGCAGGUUAAUACCCCGCUGUUCUGACGGUACCCAAAGAAUAAGCACCGGCUAACUUCGUG